CAAACGGCUCUUUUAAGAGCCACCCACAAUUUCUGCGAAAGACUG
rnacentral:ncRNA from 1 species